rnacentral:lncRNA from 1 species
UGGACCUUGGAAUCAAUGCACUCCAUAUAAAACUAUGGGCAACUGGAGGUAACAAGACAAAGACACCCGGUCCAGGUGCACAGUUUGCCCUCAGAGCUCUUGCCCGUUCUGGCAUGAAGAUUGGUCACAUUGAGGACGUGACACGAAUUCCAACAGAUAGCACUCGUCGAAAGAGUGGGAGAAGAGGAAGGAGGCUGUGAUAUGUUUUUUGUCUACAAUAUGUUUUCAAUGUAUCUGCAAUUUGGAUUAUGGUUGUCUUCAACUUUUGUAGGUUAUUU